GGGAAGGUCAGUGAAUCUCCUGUGAGACUUUUGUGGGCUUCUCUCACUGUUCCUGCAUCUUCAGCCACAGUAGCAUUUUUCUUGAAAAUCAGAGAGAUGGCAGGAGCUAAUCUGGUGGUCAGGAUUUCCACCUCUGCUGAAAGUGGCUAAAACACCAGAAACCACAGGCUGCGGAAGUAGUUGGGAGCAGGAAUCACUCUGCUUGCAAAAAGGCC